rnacentral:rRNA from 1 species
UACAGAGGGUGCAAGCGUUGUUCGGAAUUAUUGGGCGUAAAGCGCGUGUAGGCGGCUUUGCAAGUCGGGUGUGAAAGCCCUCAGCUCAACUGAGGAAGUGCGCCCGAAACUGCAGAGCUUGAGUGCCGGAGAGGGUGGCGGAAUUCCCCAAGUAGAGGUGAAAUUCGUAGAUAUGGGGAGGAACACCGGUGGCGAAGGCGGCCAGCCUGG